ensembl:lncRNA
AACCUCCUCUGUUAUUGAUAAUGGUGAGAGGUUAGCAUGUCUUGGGGGUAUGAUAUUACUUGCUAACCUCCCCUGUUAUUGGUAAUGGUGAGAGGUUAGCAUGUCUUGGGGGUAUGAUAUUACAUGCUAACCUCCUCUGUUAUUGGUAAUGGUGAGAGGUUAGCAUGUCUUGGGGGUAUGAUAUUACAUGCUAACCUCCCUGGUAGGCCCUAAUGAGAGGUUAGCAUGUCUUGGGGGUAUGAUAUUACAUGCUAACCUCCCUGGUAGGCCCUAAUGAGAGGUUAGCAUGUCUUGGGGGUAUGAUACUACAAGCUAACUUCCUCUGUUAUUGGUAAUGGUGAGAGGUUAGCAUGUCUUGGGGGUAUGAUAUUACAUGCUAACCUCCCUGUGUAGGCCCUAAUGAGAGGUUAGCAUAUCUUGGGGGUAUGAUCUUUGACCCUCUGUAACUUUCUCACUAUUCAUUAUUAUUCACGAUUCAUUCAGGAUUAUCUGUAACCAUGGCAGCAUCCACAUGAAUGUAGAAGUAUUUAGAAACAUAUUAUAUUCUUAUUUACAAUAAAAGUGACUCCAAAAUGACAUAAUACAUUAUUUACCAUUAAUUUCUAUUGGGCACAAAAUAAUCUGAAAUACAAAAAAAAAAACUAAUUGCAAAUACAUCCAACAAGUUUCACAGGCUUGAUGUAGUCAUUGCAUGCUAGGAAUAUGGGACCAAAUACUAAACUUUUGACCCCCUACCUUUUUGAGAAAAAAAAAAAAUAUUGUUAGACAAAAUCUUUCUCUGGGCAAUUGUAUUCGUAUAAAAUAAUAUAAUUCCCCAUUUUGUUGAGCAUACAAUAUAGCUCAGUAUUUGAAUUGUUGAUUUUACACAGUCAUUAUUUCUCAUCUUUGUCAAGGGUGUCAGUAAAUUCGGACUCCCCCGUUCGACGUGAUCCAAGUCAUUGUAACGGAUCCAGGGUUUUGAACGUUUUCACAAAGCAACAGGUUUUAAUUUGGUUUUCAAUCAAAAAGGAACUCUAGUCUAGGUGACAGAAGAGGUAGGCC